CGUUUCUUAACAACACCUGCUGUUGCUCCGCCUGCAAAACCUCUGCAAAAUAUUUCUCAACCAGUGAGUAUUGCUUAGCUCAAAAUAGUAAUGCAUAGUGAAUAGUGUAAGGAAAAAAUCUUACUGGACCUCUAGCAAGAACAGUUUAGAACUGAUAGAGUUAUCCAGUAUAAAUACUGUAAAGUUAGCUUAGUUUAGGUUUCUUCCUGUAGUAACACUGGAUUAUUAAUAGAUGACCCUUACUGGACCUCUAAGAAGAACAGUUUAGAACUGAUAGAGCUAUCCAGUAUAAAGCUUGUUUAAUUAACCCAUUCAGUGCCAGUGCUCUCCACUUGACAAGUAAAAUAGUCUGGCAUUAGACGCAGUAAAAUAAUAAAGUAUGGCACGUCAGGGUGCAAUGCCAAGUGAAGUAAGUCGAUGUGUGCAAAAUAUU